rnacentral:rRNA from 1 species
AGUCGCACGAGAAAGUGGAGCAAUCCAUGAGUAAAGUGGCGCACGGGUGAGUAACACGUGAAUCAUCUACCUCCGAGUGGGGAAUAACCUAGAGAAAUCUGGGCUAAUACCGCAUAACACUUACGAGUCAAAGCAGCAAUGCGCUUGGAGAGGAGUUCGCGGCCGAUUAGUUAGUUGGCGGGGUAAUGGCCCACCAAGACGAUGAUCGGUAUCCGGCCUGAGAGGGCGCACGGACACACUGGAACUGAAACACGGUCCAGACUCCUACGGGAGGCAGCAGUGGGGAAUUUUGCGCAAUGGGGGAAACCCUGACGCAGCAACGCCGCGUGGAGGAUGACAUAUCUUGGUAUGUAAACUCCUUUCGAUAGGGAAGAUUAUGACGGUACCUAUAGAAGAAGCCCCGGCUAACUUCGUGCCAGCAGCCGCGGUAAUACGAGGGGGGCAAGCGUUGUUCGGAUUUAUUGGGCGUAAAGGGUGCGUAGGCGGUUUGAUAAGUCUGGUGUGAAAUCUUUGGGCUCAACCCAAAGUCUGCACUAGAAACUGUCGGGCUUGAGUAUGGGAGAGGUGAGUGGAAUUUCCGGUGUAGCGGUGAAAUGCGUAGAUAUCGGAAGGAACACCUGUGGCGAAAGCGGCUCACUGGACCAUUACUGACGCUGAUGCACGAAAGCUAGGGGAGCAAACAGGAUUAGAUACCCUGGUAGUCCUAGCCCUAAACGAUGAUUGCUUGAUGUGGCA